GACGAACCGUGCGAACGUUAUUCGGAAUCACUGGGCUUAAAGCGCGUGUAGGCGGGUCGGCACGUCGGUCGCUGAAAUCCCCCGGCUUAACCGGGGAACUGGCGUCGAUACGACCGCCCUGGAGGGGCGUAGGGGGACCUGGAACUUCCGGUGGAGCGGUGAAAUGCGUUGAGAUCGGAAGGAACGCCCGUGGCGAAAGCGAGGUCCUGGACGCCUACUGACGCUGAGACGCGAAAGCCAGGGGAGCGAACGGG
rnacentral:rRNA from 1 species